UCUAAUAAUUUAUAUUAGCAUUACCAAGAGUUAUAAUCUAUUAAAUAACUUUAAAACAUAUGAAAAGUUUAAAUUACCAUAUGUAAGAAAAGUAAACUCUCACGCUGUCUCAAAAGAGUACCAUUUGGCAACCUUUCAGUAUUCCUUAUUCGCAGCUUAGCUUUAUGAUAUUAUAUAGAUAUAGAUGGUUAGAAGUGUGAACCUUGUUUCCCCUUUAUUGAUUUCUCCUUGGAACCAACCAAAAGAAAAAGGAAUGAAAACUCUACACCAAAACCAUCAGAGUUGACAAUUGAUCGCAGAUGCCAUAUUCUAUGUUGUUUCCCUGGAAAGAAAGCACAAUACUACGUUCUGCCUCAAAGACCUGUAAUGAUUCAGGCCAAAACAGAAUAUUUACUGCUAGAAUGUUAGCCAUUUGACAGGUUCAUCGACUUCAUAUAAGAAAAGGGCACUGAAAACAAGCUGAACUUUUUAUUUGCAGACAGAAGCACAUGUCAGGCAGAGGUGCAUCAGAUAAUCGAUAAAUAAAAAGUUCAAGACUUGCAUCAUUUUACUCGGUACUCUUUUUUAAAUCACAAUCUCUUCACCUGGAAACUACAUAUUUUCAUCGUUCAUGCUUGCACAUGACGUAUAUGAUUCAUCAAGGAAGAGCCAAGUUGAUUCAAAACUCCAUAUUAAGAAUUCCAUACUCUUCUUAAUGAAUGGUUCAUUCCAGAAUCAAGUUCAAUUUGUUAAAAGUUUGAGUGAAAGAAUUGGAUAGUCCAUCAAUUUGGUUCAGGUGACAUGUACCACAGGGACAAGAUUAGUGUCUGUAAGGUUUCCUGAAAGUGAAAUAUAACCAGGAAAGCUAGUCCAGCACAAUUUUCUCUCUCCAUUGAUGCAGGGGUUAAGAAUCAUAAAGUAAUGCUACAAAAGAGAACCUGAUAGAGCACCAAAGCUUUCGUUACAUGUAAUAUUUACUUUGAACAGAAUUCAUUUCAAGGAUCAAAUGCUGGAACGUCUCGCCAGGGAGGAUAUAUUGCAUGAUAUAAUGUUCUAUCAAUUAUACCCCUAUAAGGAUCCUGCUUUCUCUUCUUCAACAAGUAGUCUAUACUGUGUUUAACCUCAGAUUUUACCUGCAAGUACAACUCAUUUGCAUAAUCUCUGUCUUUCAGAAGCUCUUCCUUCCCCUUCGUUUCAAUGGGCUUUCCGAACAGAAAAUAAAAUCGGCCAGGUACCUUAGGCAAAAGCCCUGGAAUAAACAUUUCUUGGUUGGCAACCUCACCUUGGAUCUCAUCCCUAUAAUCAGACCAUAAACUUUGUCAAUACAGAUUCAAAAGUAGCUAGUAUCUUAAGCUGAUAUGGCUUUUCAUUUCUAGUAAGCAGAUAUAUAUCAUUGCAUGGAGAGUAAUCACCUGAUUCUCACAGCACUGCGACUCCUCUCUCCAACAAAGUCAUUAACAAAAGGGAUUUUCCUGAUGUCGUUGUAGUCAAGAACCAACUGCCACAUACAGACAACAGCUUUAAGGUUUUACAAUAAGCAUGAUAAUAACUGCAAAACUGAAGUUCAGAAAAAGUAAGGGAAAUUUUAUAGAAUUUUUUAAAGCAUUUGGAGGGAAAGAAGGUAUAUGAAGAGAGUAAGGAGAUAAUGUAUCAGAAAUGCCUAAAUCAUCCAGACAAAAAAUCCUACCACCAGGAACAGGGUCUCGUGUGGAAAUAAUAUAGUGGUGACACAAGGAAAAUAAAAGAAAUAUAAAACUCACUUCUGCUAUAUCAUCUUCUCCUACACUCCCAAAUGGUACAAUUGUGGCCCCAAACCUUGCAGCCAUUCUCACAAACUCUUGUUGAUUAGGCCAAAAUAACUUAUACUCUUCACCCUGGAUAUCACAGAAUUGUUACAACUAAGAGGAACCAUAGUCUUGAAAAGUAUAAAACAAUAAAUAACUUAAUUAGGCAAAUAAGUAGUGGUGGUGAAGUGGCAGCUAUGGUGAUUCUGGAAUAGCAUACAAGACAUCUUUGCAAGUAUGGAGCAGCAAACUACUAGUAUGGUGCCUAUGGCAUAAUUAAAAUGUGAAAUAUAAAGCAACUUCAAAAUUUUUCAUUUGAUGAAAUUAGAUAGACAGUUGAUGACAGAAUUAGGGAAAAUGACAGAAUAAAAAUAUCUUUGAUUUCAGCUUUCAACGAAAACUUCAUGAAGUGACUGCAAGAACGUUGGUGUACCUUGUAAUGCAAAGCCUCUCGUGCACCUCCAGGAUAAAGAAGCACAUGUGAUUUUGUUGAAAGCAAUCUGAAAAUAUUACUCGCUGUAGCAGGUACAGCACCCAUUACUUUCAUCCAAUCUUGUAGAGAAAACUCGGUAGAUGAACUUUCCAACGUCCCAUUAAAGAGUACUGGAUGUGCUAGACCACGCAAGGCAAUGUUCUCUCUCAAGAAUGCUUCUACGAGGGGAUAAAGUUCAAGUCCCAUCAACAUGUGGUAACCAACUAACAAGACAGGACCUUCCUUUGGAAUCCCAGCAAGACCUCUCACUAUCCGUCCAUCAUCAAGAGUUGAGAACAUAGCAGCACCAGUAACAAAGCGUAAUAAUCCAACCACUUCGUCAAAGCCAUAUUUGAAUUCUGACAUGCUAGGGGGCACAAAAUCUGAGACAUAAUCGAGCCUCCUUGAACAACGAUAUUUACCAGUACCUUUAAUGAUAGUGAGGAGAUUAAUUCCAUCCUCCAGUAAAAUUGUAUGCCCAUUGUCUUUGAAAAGACGAACUAUGCAAUUCUGUAGUGAACUUUUAAGACGAUUAGCUUCAUCAACACUGGGAAGCAUAUAAUCCUUGCCACUAGCAAGCACUAGCACUUCAGCUUUUACAGCAUGAAGACGGGAAUUGGCAUAAGCAGCAGCUGAAUUAAGCAGUUUCAACUUCCAAAGGAGAGUUUCCCUUGGAAUGAUAUCAGCCAAACCAGAAAGAAGAGGUAGCAAAGUAGUGAGAUUGCUGGACAGUUGUUCAAUUUUUGAUUUGGGAGGAAGCCUAUAUUCGAUAUCAACCAUUGCCAUCUUCAGUGGAUCACCCAUAACAAAGCUAAGAAGAUAGGGGACUGCAUUAUGUAAUCCAUUAGGCAAAGCCUCCAAGACAGGAAGGAGGGGCUGUAAUUGUGACCUGCCAAAUGAUGUAGCUGGAUUGGCUAGUAUCAGGACAAGGUCAAUUUUAGGAUUACGUGCAGCAACAGCGAGUGCUAGACAUCCUCCAAAGGAAUCUCCCACUAGAUAAAUUGGUCUAUUUGGUGAUGCAGCAUGCUGAAUCCUCACUGUUUCUUCAACAAAUUUCACUAGUCCUUCAAAUGGUGUUCUGUCGUACACUGGAAUAUGAAGGCACCAAACUUCAAACGCCUUCCCAACAGCUUUAUGGUGCAAAGUAAGUCCCAAGCCAACACCAUCCAUCCCUGGUAAAAACAGAAGAGUUGGCGAAUUUUUUCGAGGCUUCCCACACUCAAGGGGACAAAACCACCGAGGCGGUCCUCCAUCAGGCCUAAUAAUCUCCUUGGCAACAUCAAGAUAAUCCUUCACAGUCUUGGUACCAUAUCCAUCAUCCCACAACAAUUCCAAAUCUUUUGAAACAUCUUUCAUCUGCUUUUUCUGUACUAUAGACUUCAAUCUCCCAUUUUCUCCAUUAAUCAAAGCCUUUUCCUCUUCCACUCUAGUAACUCCAUCAAUAAAUCCAUUAUUCUCUUUCUGUUUAGUGAAAGAAGUUCCAUUCAGUACAAUUGAAUCAGAUGACAGCACUGUCGAAUCUCUACUACCUAAACUCUGAAUUCUCACUCGAAACCCACCCUUAAUUUCUGAAUUUGUCAAAAAAUAAGGCGAUACCCGGAAAGAAGAAACUGAUGCCAUGGCCUAUAUAAGCAAUGGCAGAAAGCUUACUACUUUUAUAAGUUUCCAGAAGAGCAACUUAGAACUACUUCCAAGUUUCAAAUAUCAAACAAGAGCAACUAUAAAGAAACUUAGGAAACUUUUCGAGCCCUUUAAGAGGGCUUCAAAUUAACAGAAUGAGCAGAAUAUUAAAGAACCAUAAAAUUUUCACCCCUAAUUUAUAAUCAUGGAACCACUUGAUACUUUUUUCAGAUGCUAAGCAAGCAUUAAUGUCUUCUAACACUUGAAAAGAGUUGCAACUGCCAAAUACACCAGGUGAUUCACUAAGGCUGAAACACUGUAACUUGAGAAUCACAACACUGAAAAUAUGCAAAUUUUAGACCCUUUUCAAGAUUCACCUAUUAAGCAAAUUUGAAGUACAGAGAAGCGAUAGAAGAAAAACUUGGGGAACUCGGCUUGAAAUAUCAGCAAAGGAAACAAGCACGCUUAGAAUGUUCCGCCUAAAUCACUCUAACCGAAAAACUCACACUUCGUGCCCUUCCUGCUUAUCAAAACAAUUAAGA
rnacentral:misc_RNA from 1 species